UUUACUUCAUUGUUCUGUUAAUUUUUCUCUUUACAGCCAUCGAGUUCUUUUGUUAGUUAAACAAAGGUUUGAAAGAACCGAUGCGGUACGGUUUUAAGCAAUUGUGUAUGGGGGGUGUUGUUCGUUAAACAGGACGCAUUUGUCCUAACUAAUAUCAGGGACCCGAAUUCUUUCCAGGAGCUAUUCAAUGUAGAAACCUUACAACUUGAGAACUGAAUGACUGCAAAAAGCUUUUGACUCCAAAAUUACAUGGACGGAAAAGCAUUGCCAGGACCGAGAACACAACAAAACUCAGAGCCGCACAAGAGCAAAAUGUUUGUCGCACAUUUUGUCCGUUUUGCACUGAUUUUGCUCAUUUGCCGGAGUGAAUUUUGCCAUGGUGAGGAAGAACAACAAGCAAAGGACAAAUUACAAGAAGCAUUGAAGUCAGUUGAAGAGUAUAAAGUCAGAAACAAAAGAGCAGGUUUGUAAUGGAGUAUUCUGUUUUAUAUAGACUGAGUAAGGUAACCGUAGUAACAGGC